CCUACGGUGAGCAGCAGUCGAGAAUCAUUCACAAUGGGGGAAACCCUGAUGGUGCGACGCCGCGUGGGGGAAUGAAGGUCUUCGGAUUGUAAACCCCUGUCAUGUGGGAGCAAAUUAAAAAGAUAGUACCACAAGAGGAAGAGACGGCUAACUCUGUGCCAGCAGCCGCGGUAAUACAGAGGUCUCAAGCGUUGUUCGGAAUCACUGGGCGUAAAGCGUGCGUAGGCUGUUUCGUAAGUCGUGUGUGAAAGGCGCGGGCUCAACCCGCGGACGGCACAUGAUACUGCGAGACUAGAGUAAUGGAGGGGGAACCGGAAUUCUCGGUGUAGCAGUGAAAUGCGUAGAUAUCGAGAGGAACACUCGGGGCGAAGGCGGGUUCCUGGACAUUAACUGACGCUGAGGCACGAAGGCCAGGGGAGCGAAAGGGAUUAGAUACCCUGGUAGUC
rnacentral:rRNA from 1 species